rnacentral:rRNA from 1 species
UACGAGGGGGGCGAGCGUUGUUCGGAAUUACUGGGCGUAAAGCGUGCGCAGGCGGUUAUAUAAGUCAGAUGUGAAAUCCCCGGGCUCAACCUGGGAAUGGCAUUUGAGACUGUAUGGCUAGAGUGUGUCAGAGGGGGGUAGAAUUCCACGUGUAGCAGUGAAAUGCGUAGAGAUGUGGAGGAAUACCGAUGGCGAAGGCAGCCCCCUGGGAUAACACUGACGCUCAUGCACGAAAGCGUGGGGAGCAAACAGG